rnacentral:lncRNA from 1 species
AAAGCAGUCUGGAUGUGUGUUGGGAGGAUCACUUCACCUGAGCUAUGUAUAUCUAUCUCAUAGGAUUUCAGGGUUAUACAAUAUACCAUGUGACUGCUGAGUAAAACAGAAGACUCAGACAGGAACACAGCUCUCAUUCAUAACAUGCCUCCUCUCCAGACUAACAAAGCGCAAUCCUGGUGAGCUACUGAACUUAAAGCUGCAGAACUGGAAUGAGGGCUUGUUACCCAGAACUCUCUUGAAGGAAAAGAGCUGAAGCAAUGCAUAUGGCUUCACAGCUGGAGACCACACUCCUCAGCCUCCUUACAACCAACCUGUCUUGUUUGAAUCCAUUCUCUUCAAGGGAAUGAGAACAAAAUUUACGUGUGCAGCUUCCAGCCCAUCAUCCAGUUCCCUGUCUUCUGCUAGCAGUACCCUGAUUUUGCUCUGUGGAAUCAUCCUCUUCCUGACUUUCAGCUCAUGUGCUUCUGGUAAUGAAUGGUGGCGCUUGGAUGUGGCUCCCAGCUUUCUGAAAGGAUACUCCAAAAAGAAUGUUCUAACCUCCAAAGUUGGUUUCCAUAAGGAAUUUAAAGAUUGUCCUGGGAUGAUGGACCCCACAGAAGUUAUAACAAGAAGAGGACAAGAGUGACCAUUAAGUAUGAACUUCUUUAGGAGAAUAUAACAGGUUUGGAAGAUCAAGGAAUGAAGAAACAUGCUGCCUGCCUGGAGGGAUUUAAAGCUGUUCAUCUAAGCACUCUUUUGCUGUCACCAAUGGCAUCUUUGGCACAUAUAUGCAAGAAUAGUGGAUACCUGAAAGGCAUUUGGGAAUGUGAACUCAGAGACUGUGAAAGGCAAAAACAAGGGUGAAGGUACGCUCGAGCGUG